GAGGGGAAUCAUGAGUGUGAGGCCAGCCUGAGUCAAUCCUGAGACCAUCUGAAAAAGAAAAAAAAUCUUCCAGGACUCAGAUGAACUAGGACGAUGUUGUCACCAGCAGACCUGCACCAUGAGACAGAAUUGCUGAGAAAAUAUCCUGAGAGAGGAAGGGUAAUGAGAGCGGCCCAAGAGCAGAGAGAGGCUGUGGGUUUGUGGGAGGAAGACAGAACACCAUACAUCAUUGUGACUGGAUAAUGGUCCCGUCUAACUGAGGAGAUGGCCUGUGGAGGGAACUUCAAAGACAACAUUUCAGGAAUCAUUUCUCGAGUCUGAAGGGACUCUUCACCUCCCGCUCUUUAGUAGCUGGAUAGGUCAGAUUGACAGAACCCAUAGGAGAUCAAAAUCAGGAGGAGGUGGGGGCUUAGAAACGACGACGGCAAAGAUUUAAAAGGCACAAGGAGCUGAUGAAGAGGCAUGAGGCAGAGCACCUUAGAGAAAGUUCAGGCAGGAUGCCCUUCUGGCCUCGUGGAGGCCAGCCAGAGUGUGUCUCAAGAGUCUUCCAUGAGAAGAUUGCUAAAGGCACACGUUCUAAACCUACACGGCCCACAUCCUAACAGCCAUGUGAAGACCUUCCUCUUGCAGAGAAGAUUUUCAUUAAAGGUUCCUUAACCC
rnacentral:lncRNA from 1 species